rnacentral:rRNA from 1 species
UUGACGGGGCCCGCACAAGCGGAGGAGCAUGUGGUUUAAUUCGAUGAUACGCGAGGAACCUUACCUGGGCUCGAACGUAAGAUGACUGUAGGUGAAAGCUUACAUCUCUUCGGAGCAUUUUACGAGGUGCUGCAUGGUUGUCGUCAGCUCGUGCCGUGAGGUGUCGGGUUAAGUCCCAUAACGAGCGCAACCCCUACCUUUAGUUGCCAUCAGGUUAAGCUGGGGACUCUAAAGGAACUGCCUACGCAAGUAGUGAGGAAGGCGGGGAUGACGUCAAAUCAGCACGGCCCUUACGUCCAGGGCUACACACGUGCUACAAUGGCCGAUACAGAGGGCAGCUACCUGGUGACAGGAUGCAAAUCUCCAAAGUCGGUCUCAGUUCGGAUCGGAGUCUGCAACCCGACUCCGUGAAGUUGGAUUCGCUAGUAAUCGCGCAUCAGCCAUGGCGCGGUGAAUACGUUCCCGGGCCUU